GCUGCAACUCGCCUGCAUGAAGUCGGAAUUGCUAGUAAUCGCGGAUCAGCAUGCCGCGGUGAAUACGUUCCCGGGCCUUGUACACACCGCCCGUCACACCAUGAGAGCCGGGAACACCCGAAGUCCGUAGCCUAACCGCAAGGAGGACGCGGCCGAAGGUGGGUUUGGUAAUUGGGGUGAAGUCGUAACAAGGUAGC
rnacentral:rRNA from 1 species